GUCCAGCAGUUGUCCCCAGUGUGUUCCCACCUUUCAACAGCACCUGACCGCCACACACACCUGCACACCUGCUCCACAUUCCCUCAUCAGCUCCUCAACGUACCUGUCUGUCAGUUGUUUGCUGCAAUCUUAGCUUUUCCUGCUACUGUUCCUGCUACUUUUGAUGAUGACUCCUUACCUUUGCCACUUUGGACUGCCUGCCUGUUGUCAAAACUCUGUUUUCAUGAACCGACAACUCUGGCCGUUUGCCUCAGCUGCAUGUGGCGUGAGUGACUGAAGAUGUUGGAACUCUCCACCACAGGGAUCCACCAGCAGGCCCACAGACCUGCAGUGCAGCGACGGCACCACGCCAACCUGUGCCCGGCUCCCACCACAGCUCCAUCCAAAACGUUUAAUCAAAAGGGACACCCUCUCCACUUGGUCCCGCAAGGAAAUAGAAGCUGUUGAGCUGUUGGCCCAUGCUGUGCACCUUGGCAGCUCGAAAAAGAAUAACCCAGAAUGGUCUACUCUCCGCUACGGCGCCAGGACAUUGGAGAGGAGGCCUGUGGUACAAUCAGCAUUUUCCAACAGGUAAUUGAAGCUUUGGUGACACGGUUGAUGGUGAUGUGUCCAACGGCGGCCUGAUCAGCCUUUCUGUCUUUACCAUCAGCACUGAUGGGUGUUUCUCAUCUCCUCGAAACAGGGUCUGCAUGUCACUUCCAGCAGAUGUUGAUUCAAGCCCCUGAAUGAAUGUCAGGGGGGGAAAUUACUGCAAUUUCACUCGUCAAGCGUGAUUGUAGCGUGUACCCCAAUAUUAAGGUCACCUUUUUCUGGCUGCACUGAUUCAUUUAGACACUGCUGUGCAAUUUCACUGCCAAAUUUACCACAUGUAUCACAUGUACGUAUGUUUUUUUUUAUAUUUUACUUUUGAGGUUGCAUCUUUCCUUGUGUCAAAUUACAGAAAGCUAUUUUACAACUUUCCUUCAAAUUGCGAUGCAAUGAUAGUAAAACCUCAGGUUGAGUGUUUGGCUCCCAUUGCACCGUUCUAUACAAACUGCGCUGAUA